rnacentral:lncRNA from 1 species
GCAAGGGGGUCCUUUAAUACCGUUAUUUCUGCCUUAUUUCAACCAUUUCUCCUUUUUCCAUCACAUCCUUAAAACAUGAAACGAAAGGCAGACUGAGGCAGCGCUCCCUCCCCCUUUCCUUGCACCAAGGGGCACCAUUGCUCACAACACAUGAUUCCACCAACAAUUCGCCCCAAAAGACACUCCCCACCCUCCUCCUCUGCCCACACCCCCACCCACGCCGGUCUGCAGCCUGGAGGUGCUUCUCACACCGGCGUUCCUUUGGGGAAAGGCAGCAGUGGGGUUCUGACCCCUUCUUUGCUUGCUUCUGCACCCUCUGCUUUCAGCCACUCCAUCUUCUGCCUGUGCUGCUGCACGGCGUCGGCGACCCGAGCAUCAAUCAUGGCCUCGGUCAGAACACCGUCCUCUGAUGCAUAGGCUGCAGCCUGCCAUGCCACAG